AAAGAUUAAGCCAUGCAUGUCUAAGUUUAAACGAUUUAAAGUGAAACCGCGAACGGCUCAUUACAACAGCAAUAAUUGACUUGACGAUAUAUUCCUUAAAUGGAUAACUGUGGUAAUUCUAGAGCUAAUACAUGAAUUUAAGCAGAGUGUCUUUGGCGCUCUGUUCAUUUAUUAGACCAAAACCAAGCGGCCUCGGUCGUUUAUUUCGGUGACUCGUAGUAAUUUCGUUGAUCACAUGAUCUUGUAUCGGUGACACGUCUAUCAAGUUUCUGCCCUAUCAACUUUUGAUGGUUCUUUAUUGGAGAACCAUGGUUAUAACGGGUAACGGAGAAUUAGGGUUCGACUCCGGAGAGGGAGCCUGAGAAACGGCUACCGCAUCCAAGGAAGGCAGCAGGCGCGAAAAUUACCCACUCUCAGUGCGAGGAGGUAGUGACGAAAAAUAACAAGGCUGAUCGCUUUGCGAGCAGCUAUUGGAAUGGGUACAAUUUAAACCCUUUAACGAGGACCUAUGAGAGGGCAAGUCUGGUGCCAGCAGCCGCGGUAAUUCCAGCUCUCAAAAUGUACUUAACCAUUGUUGCGGUUAAAAAGCUCGUAGUUGGAUCUGUGCCGGCGGACUCGGUCCACUCGCAAGGGUGCGCACUGGGCUCCCCGGCUUUCUGCCGGUUUUCCCGUCGUGGCCUUAAUUGGUUGCGGCGGGUGGCUGGCGAUUUUACUUUGAACAAAUCAGAGUGCUUAAAACAGGCGUUUCGCUUGAAUGUUCGUGCAUGGAAUAAUAGAAAAGGUCUUUGCAGCCUUUUAUUGGUUAUCGCUGUAAGGAAAUGAUCGACGGGGACAGACGGGGGCAUUCGUAUUGCGACGUUAGAGGUGAAAUUCUUGGAUCGUCGCAAGACGGACUACUGCGAAAGCAUUUGCCAAGAAUG
rnacentral:rRNA from 1 species